rnacentral:rRNA from 1 species
GACGAACGCUGGCGGCGUGCCUAACACAUGCAAGUCGAACGGAGUAAAGCCCUUCGGGACUUUACUUAGUGGUGAACGGGUGAGUAACGCGUGAGGAACCUGCCUUCCAGUGGGGGACAACAGUUGGAAACGACUGCUAAUACCGCAUGAUGCUUUUGAGGGACAUCCCUUAAAAGCCAAAGCUUUAUGUGCUGGAAGAUGGCCUCGCGUCUGAUUAGCUAGUUGGUGAGGUAACGGCUCACCAAGGCGACGAUCAGUAGCCGGUCUGAGAGGAUGAACGGCCACAUUGGGACUGAGAUACGGCCCAGACUCCUACGGGAGGCAGCAGUGGGGAAUAUUGGGCAAUGGGCGAAAGCCUGACCCAGCAACGCCGCGUGAAGGAAGAAGGCCU